rnacentral:rRNA from 1 species
UACGUAGGUCCCGAGCGUUGUCCGGAUUUAUUGGGCGUAAAGCGAGCGCAGGUGGUUUAUUAAGUCUGGUGUAAAAGGCAGUGGCUCAACCAUUGUAUGCAUUGGAAACUGGUAGACUUGAGUGCAGGAGAGGAGAGUGGAAUUCCAUGUGUAGCGGUGAGAUGCGUAGAUAUAUGGAGGAACACUGGUGGCGAAAGCGGCUCUCUGGCCUGUAACUGACACUGAGGCUCGAAAGCGUGGGGAGCAAACAGG